ACCACUGACAGUUUUAUCUGGUUUAUGUCACUGAUCUCCUCAGCCAGGUAUUUCCAUACACUUAGGAGGCGUUUAUUUCCUAUAAGGUGUGGCCUUUUUUCUUCAGCUUCUGAGACAGACACUCUUUUUCUGCUGAUCCUUGAUCAGCUGCUCAGGUCUGCUUAACUGGGGUUGGAGCUAAACUCUGAAACAAGAGAAGACAACCAAUAUUAUGAAGUAAAAAAAAAAAAUGAUUCAGAAAUAUGCACAACGUUUGAAAAUGCACAAAGAUGAGAAGAAAGCUAUGUGUUUAAUGAGAACUUUCCACUGAAAAAUAAGAAGCAAUAUUAAGUCACAGAUGCAUUUUUAUUAAUUCUUAUUAAUAUUGUUUAAAUAUGUUACAGUAACCUUGUGCUUUAUCAAUGAUUUUCAGUCUCUGAAAUAGAAAAGAUCUAUCAGUGCUGAAUGGCAUCAUACAUACAUCAUAUGUAAUGAUAUUUAACAAGAGUUCUAACACUGUGUCGUCACUGGACAGAACAACAAAAUACAACAGAGCCUUUUAUAAUCAGUGAUGCUCUCUACACUGGAUGCGGCACGAAACAACAAAUCACAGACGGUGAUCUGAUGCCUUUUCCUAUUUAUGAUGUACUGACACAAAGUUUGAAUGAUUUUUAACAGUCACUUUGGUGUGAGAGUGUGUAGCUUGGAGAUAGAGAUCUUUUUAUGUUUCUGAAAUAAGUCUCAUGUACACUAAGAAAACUGCAUUUAUUUGAUCAUAAAUAAAAAUGGUAAUGUUGUGAAAUAUUAGUACAAUUUCAAAUAACUGCUUUAUAUGUAAAUAUUUUGUACAAUUUUAUUCUUGUUUUCACAAAGCAUGAUUUCUGAAGGAUUGUGUGACACUGGAGACUGAUGCUGAAAAUUCAGCUUUGAUCACUUAUUAAAACAAACUUAAAUAGAAAAUAGUUAUUAAAAAAAUGUUAAUUUCACAAUUUAACUGUAUUUUAAUCAAAUAAAUGCAGCAGUGGUGAGCAUAAAAGAUGUCUUUGAAAUACAUGACAAAUCUGACCCUUA